AACUAGAUAAACACACAGAGAGAUGGAUAGGCGUAGGUAUGAGUUAUA
rnacentral:misc_RNA from 1 species